UCGGAGUAUCUCAAGCAUGAC
rnacentral:miRNA from 1 species